ACGAACGCUGGCGGCGUGCUUAACACAUGCAAGUCGAACGGAAAGGCCCUGCUUUUGUGGGGUGCUCGAGUGGCGAACGGGUGAGUAACACGUGAGUAACCUGCCCUUGACUUUGGGAUAACUUCAGGAAACUGGGGCUAAUACCGGAUAGGAGCUCCUGCUGCAUGGUGGGGGUUGGAAAGUUUCGGCGGUUGGGGAUGGACUCGCGGCUUAUCAGCUUGUUGGUGGGGUAGUGGCUUACCAAGGCUUUGACGGGUAGCCGGCCUGAGAGGGUGACCGGCCACAUUGGGACUGAGAUACGGCCCAGACCCCUACGGGAGGCAGCAGUGGGGAAUAUUGCACAAUGGGCGGAAGCCUGAUGCAGCAACGCCGCGUGCGGGAUGACGGCCUUCGGGUUGUAAACCGCUUUCGCCUGUGACGAAGCGUGAGUGACGGUAAUGGGUAAAGGAGCACCGGCUAACUACGUG
rnacentral:rRNA from 1 species